CCUACGGUGUGCAGCAGUGAGGACUAUUGGUCAAUGGUCGGGAGACUGAACCAGCCAAGCCGCGUGAGGGAGGAAGGUACAGAGUAUCGUAAACCUCUUUUGUCAGGGAACAAAGACUGGGACGCGUCCCCGGAUGAGUGUACCUGAAGAAAAAGCAUCGGCUAACUCCGUGCCAGCAGCCGCGGUAAUCCGGAGGAUGCGAGCGGUAUCCGGAUUUAUUGGGUUUAAGGGGUGCGCAGGCGGUCUGUCAAGUCAGCGGUCAAAGCCCGGGGCUCAACCCCGGCCCGCCGUUGAAACUGGCAGUCUCGAGUUGGAGAGAAGUAUGCGGAAUGCGCGGUGUAGCGGUGAAAUGCAUAGAUAUCGCGCAGAACUCCGAUUGCGAAGGCAGCAGGCCGGCUCCACACUGACGCUGAGGCACGAAAGCGUGGGUAUCGAACAGGAUUAGAUACCCCAGUAGUC
rnacentral:rRNA from 1 species